CUACGAGAAAAAAACCGUGGACCGUAAAUUUGUUGAGUUCUCUCUCCUACCUUAGGUGCUUAUCGUGAUAUUUUGGCUUAGAAUUUAAUUUGAAAAUUCUUCCAGGCGCGCCUCAGGAAAAACGUAAAACCCGUUUCUGCUUACUUUUUAGAUCAGAAUGGAUCGUGUAUGGGCCCUGAAGGCGCAGCAUUUGAAGGAGUCAAAGUGGAAGAGGCCUAAAACAUCAGACCAAAUACAACCAAAGUGUUGGGAUGACAUGCCCUGGGAAGAAAUAAGGCGUUCAAAUCGGAGAAAAUAUAUCGAGAACCUCAACAAGAAGUUGCUUAAAUUAUGGCAAAGACGAUCCUAUAGCGAAGGCUUCACCUACCUGUGAUUAGAUUUUAAAAUUGUAUACUCUUUUAGAGUUGGUUUUAUAGCCGAGUUUUAGAUAACACUAUUUGUCCCGUUUUAAUUCCUGGUGGUUUUAUAUAAUUUAAAAUAUGUGGUAUGUCAUUGUUAUAUUAUCAACAAAUUGAAAAGACAAUUUGGCUCGAUCACAUGUUGAGUAAAUGUUUUUAUAUUCGGACCGUAGAUGUUCCCAACGUUAUAGAAUUUUCAUUAAAGAACCUUUAAUCACUUGGAUGUAUCAAAUAGGUAAAAGUCUGCCUAAAUUGGUAUUAUUAUACU